rnacentral:lncRNA from 1 species
GAGAUCUAGGGCAUCAUCUGUUUGUGGUGGUGUAGUUUCUGGGAAUCUGCAUUGAUAAAGCAUCAGAACAGAGAAUUGAUUUAUUGAUUUUGAGGAAUUAUGUUGUCCAAGCCUGGACAAUGUUAUUCCUGUCUUCAUUUCCCUGGAACCAGGCAUUGUCUCCUCUUUACAUCCCAUGUCACUGUUCUUUUGUAUCAAAGUAAAUAUCACAUCAAAUAUUGAAAUGUCUUGUUCCUGACUCUGUCUCUAGACUUAAAACUCCACCCUGCUUGUAACCACGCCCCCUCUCCCAUAGGGAAUAGGUUUUUGUUGUAGCAAUGCCUCUAAUGAUGGUUCAUUUGACUAUGUGGAUUGCUAUUAAUUAGAUUGUGCCUUACAGAUUGCUGUCUUGCUCUCCCGAGAGAGCCACUCCAGAGCCACUUGUUCUGCAGUCAUGUUUCAGGAGACAGUAAUGGCCCCUCACAGCUCCUUAGUACCCACUACUCACUGAGCGCAUGCCUCACUUCUGUUUAUUCUUUCACUCGGACCUAGACUCUUCUUUCCAGCUUUCUUUCCAGGCCCAACUUGUACUUCUGCAUUGAGAUGGCCCUUUUUUGCCUCUUUCUUCCCCCUCCCCCUGAUGUUUUAUUGUGUGUGUGUGGGGGGGGGGUCAGAGGGCUAGUUUUCACCCUCCACCUUUAUGGGGGUCCCAGAGGCUGAAACAAGGCCAUCAGGCUUGCUUUACUUGCUGAACCAUCUCACAGGUCCCUCUUCACCUCAUCCUGGUCUCCCUUGGACUUGGACACUCAUUUGGCUUGCUAGCUGAUGAUUUUCUUAUCACUUAGCCAUUUUAUUAGGGUCUGAUUCCUUUUUUUUUCUCUUUCUUCUUUUCCGAGUCAGGGUUCUCUGUGUAGCCCUGGCUGUCCUGGAACUUGCUUUGACCAGACAGGCCUCAAACUCACAUAGAUCCACCUGCCUCUGCCUCCCAAGUGCUGGGACCAAAGGCAUGCACCACCAGGCCCAGCUUGGAAACAUUACCUUUUUUGUGGAGGAAAGAACCAGGCCCUGGAACACAUUGAAGCCGUUUUUCUGAAACCAGAUGCCCACGUUUCCUUGUGUAGAGGUGGGAUAGCUGCAGUGAAGGCUACAAACAUGUCUCCCUGAAGGUAGGAGAUUUUCAGAUUGCCCAAAGCUUAGCCACUUAGGGUUCUCACCAUCAUCUUUUCCAUUCACGUAGGGUAGGCAAAGCCUGAUGGGUGAGGCAAGGAAAGAUGGCCGACUGCCAGAAGUCAGCCCUGGUGCCCUUGGUUAUUAAAUAGAUGUUUUAUUUCUGUAGCUUCACAGGUGCUAAUAGAGAACCUCUAACUCACUUGCUUAGGCUCCUAAGGAAUCUGUAGACUUAGCAUGGUUUUACUAUUUCUCCGUAACUGCAUCCAUCAGAAGACUGCAGCAUAGCCAUUAAAGUUGAGGAUAUGACUGUAGAAUACAGUAAGUU